CCCUUAGAUGUCCUGGGCCGCACGCGUGCUACACUGAACGGUUCAAUGGGUAAGGUAGUGCGAAAGCAUGGCCUAAUCUCGAAAUCCGUUCGUGCUGGGGAUAGAAGCUUGCAAUUAUCCUUCUUGAACGAGGAAUACCUUGUAAGCGUGAGUCAUCAUCUCACGCUGAAUACGUCCCUGCCCUUUGUACACACCGCCCGUCGCUCCUACCGAUUGAGUGUUCCGGUGAGGCUUUGGGAGAAUGGCCUCAACAUGAGUUUAUCGUGUUUUGCCGUUUGAACUUAGUCAAACCUUAUCACUUAGAGGAAGGAGAAGUCGUAACA
rnacentral:rRNA from 1 species